rnacentral:rRNA from 1 species
UACGGAGGGUGCAAGCGUUAUCCGGAUUCACUGGGUUUAAAGGGUGCGUAGGUGGGCUAGUAAGUCAGUGGUGAAAUCUCCGGGCUUAACCCGGAAACUGCCAUUGAUACUAUUAGUCUUGAAUACCAUGGAGGUGAGCGGAAUAUGUCAUGUAGCGGUGAAAUGCUUAGAUAUGACAUAGAACACCAAUUGCGAAGGCAGCUCGCUACGCAGUUAUUGACACUGAGGCACGAAAGCGUGGGGAUCAAACAGG